rnacentral:sRNA from 1 species
AAGUGGCCCGGCCAGCGGCGCGGCGUCCGGGGAGGAAAUGGAAGCUGUGCUGGCCUGCCGGCUCCAGGGGCGGGGAAAUCGAGUAGCUGCACUCAGGCCCCGCCCGAGACCCGGAGGGAGCGCCGGGCCGUCCCCUUUUUCCCUCUGCGCUGGGCUGAGCCCAGAGCCGAGAGAAGGAGUCGGCUCUGAGUUCUUUGCUUGGUUUUUAGGUGGCAGCAGCCACAGGAGGAAUAUGGCGCUCUUAGGCAGCCGAGCGGAGCUGGAAGCGGACGAGGACGUUUUCGAAGAUGCCUUGGAAACCAUCUCAAUAUCUUCUCACUCAGAUAUGGCAACAAGCAGCCUUCACUUUGCAUCAUGUGAUACGCAACAGGCGCCCAGACAGCGCGGAGCAUCUACUGUGAGCAGUUCAUCAUCAACCAAGGUGGAUCUCAAAAGUGGCCUCGAAGAAUGUGCUGUGGCAUUGAACUUAUUUCUAAGCAACAAAUUUACAGAUGCCUUAGAAUUGCUUCGCCCCUGGGCUAAGGAGAGUAUGUACCAUGCCUUGGGCUACAGUACCAUUGUGGUGUUGCAGGCUGUCCUGACCUUCGAGCAACAGGACAUCCAGAACGGCAUUUCUGCCAUGAAGGAUGCUUUACAAACCUGCCAAAAAUACAGGAAAAAAUACACAGUUGUAGAAUCUUUCUCAAGUCUUCUUUCUAGAGGAUCCCUGGAGCAACUGAGCGAAGAGGAGAUGCAUGCUGAAAUCUGUUAUGCCGAGUGUCUCCUACAGAAAGCUGCACUCACGUUUGUGCAGGAUGAAAAUAUGAUCAACUUCAUCAAAGGUGGACUCAAAAUUAGAACAAGUUAUCAAAUAUAUAAAGAAUGUCUUUCUAUCCUGCAUGAAAUUCAGAAGAACAAACUUCAGCAGGAAUUCUUCUAUGAGUUUGAAGGGGGUGUCAAGCUUGGCACUGGGGCGUUUAAUUUGAUGCUGUCCCUUUUACCAGCAAGGAUUAUCAGACUACUAGAAUUUAUUGGAUUUUCUGGAAAUAGGGAGUUGGGCCUCCUGCAGUUACGUGAAGGUGCUUCAGGAAGGAGCAUGAGGUCUGCACUGUGCUGCUUAACCAUCUUAGCUUUUCAUACUUACAUCUCCCUAAUACUUGGUACAGGAGAAGUGAAUGUUGCGGAAGCAGAGCGUCUCCUGGCACCCUUCCUCCAGCAGUUUCCAAAUGGCUCACUCGUGUUGUUUUAUCAUGCCCGAAUAGAGUUGCUGAAAGGGAAUCUUGAAGAGGCACAAGAAGUAUUUCGAAAAUGCGUUUCAGUUCAGGAAGAAUGGAAACAGUUUCACCAUCUCUGCUACUGGGAGCUAAUGUGGAUUAAUGUUUUCCAACAAAACUGGAUGCAGGCAUAUUACUAUUCAGAUCUGCUUUGCAAAGAGAGUAAAUGGUCCAAGGCAACAUAUGUGUUCUUGAAAGCGGCAAUUUUGAGUAUGCUUCCAGAGGAGGAUGUAGUAGCAACUAAUGAGAAUGUGGUAACUUUAUUCAGGUAUGUGAGACAUUAUUUCUAUAACAAAGGCCCUGAGGGUAUAAAGGGGCAAAAUCUCAUCUCUACUAAAAAUACAAAAAAUUAGCUGGGCAUGGUGGCAUGUGCUUGUAGGCCCAGCUACUUGGGAAGCUUAGGUGGGAGGAUUGCUUGAGCCUGGGAGGUGGAGGUUUCAAGUGAGCUGAAAUAACGCCAUUGCACUGUAGCCUGAGCAACAGAGUGAGACUCUGUCUCCAAAAAAAAAAAAAAAAGACUAUGUAUAUUAACUGUAGCAUCAACAUCAACAUUAGUAAAAGCCAUGGCAUGAUAAAUGUCACCUUUUACUGUAAAGUUCAUUUCCUUAUUUUACAGAAACAAUAAUUAAU